UACGAAGGGGGCUAGCGUUGCUCGGAAUCACUGGGCGUAAAGGGCUCGUAGGCGGCCAACUAAGUCAGACGUGAAAUCCCUCGGCUUAACCGGGGAACUGCAUCUGAUACUGGAUGGCUUGAGUUCGGGAGAGGGAUGCGGAAUUCCAGGUGUAGCGGUGAAAUGCGUAGAGUAUCUGGAGGAACACCGGUGGCGAAGGCGGCAUCCUGGACCGACACUGACGCUGAGGAGCGAAAGCCAGGGGAGCAAACGGG
rnacentral:rRNA from 1 species